CCUACGGGAGGCAGCAGUGAGGAAUAUUGGUCAAUGGGCGUAAGCCUGAACCAGCCAAGUCGCGUGAGGGAUGAAGGUUCUAUGGAUCGUAAACCUCUUUUAUAAGGGAAUAAAGUGUGGGACGUGUCCUGUUUUGUAGGUACCUUAUGAAUAAGGAUCGGCUAACUCCGUGCCAGCAGCCGCGGUAAUACGGAGGAUCCGAGCGUUAUCCGGAUUUAUUGGGUUUAAAGGGUGCGUAGGCGGCCUGUUAAGUCAGCGGUGAAAGUCUGUGGCUCAACCAUAGAAUUGCCGUUGAAACUGGGAGGCUUGAGUAUGUUUGAGGCAGGCGGAAUGCGUGGUGUAGCGGUGAAAUGCUUAGAUAUCACACAGAACCCCGAUUGCGAAGGCAGCCUGCCAAGCCAUGACUGACGCUGAUGCACGAAAGCGUGGGGAUCAAACAGGAUUAGAUACCCCUGUAGUC
rnacentral:rRNA from 1 species